CUGGUGAACACACCAUCUGCGGACAUUGCAGGGCAGCAGUCAUGUGCACGAUGAUGAACGUGAUACAAGCUUUAGCUCUUUCUUGUUUCUGCUGGAUUUCUGUCUCAGGUUCUGAGUUUCAGACCUCAGAGGUGCAGGCAGGUGAAAAUGUCACUCUGCAGUGCACCAAGUUUUCCAAAAGUUUCUUUAUGACUUUCUGGUUCAGACUGGUCAGCAGAAACACAGUCAGCUCUAUCGCUGUUAUGUUAAAAUCUACAAGAGUUAUAUACGAUGCUGAAUUUCAAAAUGGAAAAUUUGAAAUGACACAAACAACCUCUGAUGUCUUCCUCAAAAUCAAAGAAGUGGAUGUGUCUGACUCUGGGCUGUAUUUCUGUGAAUUUCUCUCAGAAGGACGUCUCAAUGUAACCGUCAUGCAAUUAAAGGUUGAAGACACCGAUGAGCCUCAGGAUGACAUGGACUGCAUCUCUAAACAGGCUCACGAAGUAGCAAAGCUGACGAGUGUCACCCUGGGUGUUCUGUCUGUUUUCCUCUUAAUGCUCAUCACUGGUCUGGCUGCUCAAAACAUGAAAUUUCAAAAGGGUACUUUUUAACAGCUACAAAAUCUCUCUUAUAGUCUUUACUUUUUAUUGAUCUUCAUAAGUGUGUAAUUGGUUUAUGAACUAGAGUAAUACUAUGUUGUUUUUUCGGGGCUCAGCAAAUAAAGAAGAACAGAAUCUGGACCAGAGCACGGAGAGUAAUACUUUUAUGCUCUGAUUUGCAAUGUGAUUGUACUAGUGAUGUGUUGGUCGCGAACGUAAUGGCUCUUAGAGCCGACUCUUUGAAGUGAACAACGCAAGCCGACUCCUUAUUGGGAUCCGUGGGGUUUUUUUUUUUCUUUCUCUCGCUGUCUCUCUCGCACUUUUUUUCCG